CUUUAGCUGCAUCCCGAUUCAAAAGGUUUGAAGAACAAGUCUAAGUUCUCAAGACGAAUGGGAUGGUCUACUGGUCGAAAUACGUUUACCUUAGUCCAUUUCAAGAGUUCACACUUAGAUAUUGAUUGAUGCUAUUAGCAGGAUUGGCAUGCUUUCCCAGGAGAGAACCCUGAGCUAGGACAUAUUUGAGCCCAGGGCUCUGGUCUGGUCAAUAAGCAAAUAAGGGGGUCUGAGAUCAGGUAGGUCUCGAUCGCUCCCCCUGAUAAAAGGAAGAAAAGGAAGAAGAUGGGGUGGAAGGGGGGAUUCUUCAAAAACAAAGAAAAGGUAGUAGGGUGAAAUCAGUCUACUUAAUGUAGGCUUGGAUCAAUCUGAUUGGAUUAUAGCUGAUUACAGAUGAGAGACCAGCUGCGACCAAUUAUAUCUUUAAAUUAGUUUGUAAAACUUCACUUAUGUGCACAAUAAACACUAUGAAACACAUAUAAAAUCAUACAUAAAACAGCUUCUUGUUUCGAACUGUCUACAAGUGUUGGUAUUUUUAAAAUUCAUAUAGUAGGUUAAAAACGGAUAUGCAAUACUCUUGAAUUUUCUUUAAAAACAUCCCAUCGUACAAUGAGUUUUGCGAUGGUUGAGGACCACUGGUCUAGGCUGCAAAUAAUCCAUUUACUGUAUCCUUCACUGUCACUGAAACAAAGAAUGAAUCUCAAGUUUAGGAUUGGGACG
rnacentral:lncRNA from 1 species